UAGGACUUGCCAGGCAUAUUAUCAGUUUUUGUGGAUUUCCUUUGAAAUCUGCUCUUUGGAUGUUUAGAAUUGUUUCCUUUACAUUUCUAGGCAACAGAAUCCUACUUAGCUCAAUGUCAGAGAAUAAAUUAUAAUCCGUCAGUGUGUCACUUCUAAUUCAGAGUUUAUUCUGAGGAUAUUUUAAACAAUUUUUUUUUCAACUAGAAUUGUCAGUCUGCAGGUUUUUGUUUUUUUUUUUUAACUCUUCAAAUUCUAUUCCUUUCAGUUACAAUUACUAAAGGAAUUUUGUGGUUGAAACUCCAACAUCAGUGUACGUAAAACAGAUGUCUUAAGUCUCAUUUCCUAUAUUCCAAUUUUAUGAUUGGAUAUUUCUAUAUCCAAUUUUAUGCUGUUACUAAUGUAUUAAGGAUUGUGGAAAAAAUAAUUCAGAAAUCAAGUAUUUUUAUUUAACUUUUGGUCUAUGAUUUACAAGAUACAGCAAAGAUUAUCUGAGAUGCACAAGUCUUAUAUUUAAUUCCAUUUUACCCACAGGUCUUGAUGGAUGGCAAUUUGACUUCACCACUCUUACCUAUCAUGUGCACAGGAUGCUCUUUUUUCUGAACCCUGUGUUGCCUCUCUAGUGUCUUUCCCAGAUUCUGUUCCCAGUGAGCAAUGCAUAAGAGCAGCUUCAGUUAUUCUCCCUUUGGGACAGAAGCUGGUAUGUAAAGGUGCAAAGCUGCUCUUCUGGAUGAAUGAAUGUCAUCUCCCAGUGAUUAUCUUUCAAAAUCUAGGUAGGAUAUUUGAUUUACUACUUGAUUUGCUUUAGGCACAGCUUGGAAGAAAAAAAAAACCACAAAGCCCACAACAAAGUCAACCCUUCAACCUUUCCUAUGUGUUACCCAAAUGUACGAAUAAGAUGAAACAACUAUUUGCUGAAGUAUUUUCAGAGAUGCUCAAUCACAAAUGAAAGGGCAGAUGAUAGAAGAUAGAAACUGUUAAAUUGCUACACAAGUGGAUUGCAAUUGCCUGGAAUAGCUGAACAAGUUUCUGAAAGGAUUUAAACUGCUACAAUUUGUCAAAUUAAGCAGCACCUCAAUUAUUUUCCAAAAUACUUUUUUUCCCCCCCAAUGUAUUCAUUUUGCCUAUUUAUACUGAAAGCUCUGUAGUGAAAGGACUACGUACUACUUUAUAUUUCUUCAGUACAAGGCAAGUUUCUGAGCACUAUUACAAUAAUGCAAUUAAGAUGAAAAAACUACUCCAGAAUGAUUUUAUACAGUGUGGUGGAUAGAGAUUUUAAUUCACAGUCUUGUAUUUAGAUAAAGUCAUGACUUACGCAGUGCAGCAGUUCAUUAAGCUACUG
rnacentral:lncRNA from 1 species